rnacentral:rRNA from 1 species
CUGUGCACUCUAGACAGACUGCCGUGGACAACACGGAGGAAGGUGGGGAUGACGUCAAAUCAUCAUGCCCCUUAUGAUCUGGGCUACACACGUGCUACAAUGGCCGGUACAACGGGCAGCGAAGGAGCGAUCCGGAGCGAAUCCUAAAAAGCCGGUCCCAGUUCGGAUUGCAGGCUGAAACUCGCCUACAUGAAGUUGGAGUUGCUAGUAAUCGCGAAUCAGAAUGUCGCGGUGAAUGCGUUCCCGGGUCUU